rnacentral:rRNA from 1 species
UACGUAUGGUGCAAGCGUUAUCCGGAUUUACUGGGUGUAAAGGGAGCGCAGGCGGCACGGCAAGCCUGAUGUGAAAGCCCGCGGCCCAACCGCGGGACUGCAUUGGGAACUACCGGGCUGGAGUGCCGGAGAGGUAGGCGGAAUUCCUAGUGUAGCGGUGAAAUGCGUAGAUAUUAGGAGGAACACCAGUGGCGAAGGCGACUUUCUGGACGAUAACUGACGUUGAGGCACGAAAGUGUGGGGAGCAAACAGG